GACGAACGCUGGCGGCGUGCUUAACACAUGCAAGUCGAACGGAAAGGCCCUGCUUUUGUGGGGUGCUCGAGUGGCGAACGGGUGAGUAACACGUGAGUAACCUGCCCUUGACUUUGGGAUAACUUCAGGAAACUGGGGCUAAUACCGGAUAGGAGCUCCUGCUGCAUGGUGGGGGUUGGAAAGUUUCGGCGGUUGGGGAUGGACUCGCGGCUUAUCAGCUUGUUGGUGGGGUAGUGGCUUACCAAGGCUUUGACGGGUAGCCGGCCUGAGAGGGUGACCGGCCACAUUGGGACUGAGAUACGGCCCAGACUCCUACGGGAGGCAGCAGUGUGGAAUAUUGCACAAUGGGCGGAAGCCUGAUGCAGCAACGCCGCGUGCGGGAUGACGGCCUUCGGGUUGUAAACCGCUUUCGCCUGUGACGAAGCGUGAGUGACUGUAAUGGGUAAAGAAGCACCGGCUAACUACGUG
rnacentral:rRNA from 1 species